rnacentral:tRNA from 1 species
GGGCACGUAGCUCAACUGGAUAGAGCCCCGCGGUUUUACGCGGAUGGACACGGGUUAAAUUCCCGUCGUGUUCU